UCAACUAACUUUUGAUUCUUGUUUGGGCCAUUUUCUUGUGUAUAUGGUGCAAAUGUUUGGAGAUGAUUGAUAAGCUCAUUUAACUCGUGUAUAUGCAUAUUCUUUUUGCUGUUUAACCUUAUUAGGCUGGUAACUCGUCCUAAAACCUUGUAGUAAUAUGACUCAUAUUGUACCUUAAUUUGCUGACCUUUUUUUAAUAAAGGAUUGGGGAAGGUUGCUAAAUGCUGUCAAUUAUCGAGGCAGGCGUGGCCUUUGAGGAUACAGAUGUUACUGUGAAUGGCCGUGCUAAUCUUAGUAUAUUUGUGCUUGCAUUCUUGGUAGGAUUGUGUAGUAGCGGUUUACCAUUAUGAAAUUUCCCAUUACUUUAUAUGAGAGUGGUUUCACAUAAUUAGGUCACUUCUACUAGUUGUUACAUUUCAUAUUUUCCUCGAUUUCAUUCACUUAGGUUUUCAUGUGCUUUGAUCAAGUCAUUUCCGCAACGAAGGACCCCCUUUUUCUUUAGGCUCCACAACAUUUAUCUGGCCGUCAAAUUAUCUGGGGCUGCUGUGGAAAUUUUCACUUUUUAUGCUUAUGGUCUGCCCCCAUUGAUUUGGCUCAUGUCCUGAGGCAGCAUGUAGCUAAUGUAUCUUUUGGCGUAGCUAGGAUUUGAUUAUCAUCACGACAUUGCAUCCAAAUUCUUUUCUUCUAUUUUGUGUGGUUGGUGUUCCUAAUGCUUGCUCCUUUUUAUUGGUGCUUUGAAUGUUUUUGUCUUUUUCUGUGCCCUUGUUGACUGUGAUGGUUGGAUCAUACCUUACAUAAUAAUAAUAUAAUUGAUGCUGAGCGAUUAUAUGUUUUAACUGAGUGAUAGCCUAGUGAAAAAGAUCCUCCAACCUUGAAGUUGGGGUUCCUGUCACCAAGAGAAAAGUGGGAAAGGACCAUUGAUGACUCUUGGGAAGAGAGGAUUAUGCGGUGGGGUUUCUUCCAUAUUAAAAAGUAAUGAUAAAAAAAAUGAAACAUCAUAUGUUACAGCCACUCAAGGUCUGUAUUCCAUUUUGUACCAUUUAAUUUCCUGGAGGCUAUAUUAUAACAUGCUCAUUGAUGUCAUG